rnacentral:misc_RNA from 1 species
GAUGAAGAACGCAGCGAAAUGCGAUACUUGGUGUGAAUUGCAGAAUCCCGUGAACCAUCGAGUCUUUGAACGCAAGUCGCGCCCGAAGCCAUUAGGCCGAGGGCACGCCUGCCUGGGCGUCACACGUCGUUGCCCCCCCAUCUACUCCUUCGGGAUUGCGGGGGGCGGAUGAUGGCCUCCCGUGCGCCUCGUCGCGCGGUUGGCAUAAAUGCCAAGUCCUCGGCGACGCACGCCACGACAAUCGGUGGUUGCGAAACCUCGGUUGCCCGUCGUGUGCGGUCGUCGCGCAUCGAGGGCUCGAAAAAAUUGCCGGGCUCCGGCUCGGCUUUCAACGCGACCCCAGGUCAGGCGGGGUUACCCGCUGAAUUUAAGCAUAUCAAUAAGCGGAGGA